GAUUUUUUUCUUAUUUAUUAUAAUAUACUAUGGUGGUGGCACAAAAUCGGAGGCCCCGACUGUUUACUAAAAACACAAUUCAGAGCAAUGAUGUAAAUCAUAGUAUUCUGGAUGAAAUUUGCCCGAUGCCAUUAACAUAAAAGAGGUAAUGGGAAACUGUUACUAAUUGAAAGUCUGGUUAAUAGCGGUCUUAACUAUGAGGAUCCUAAGGUAGCAAAAUCAGUUGGCCAUUAAAUGUGGUCUGGUAUCAAUAGUGUAACGAUGGUCUCACUGUCUCUACAACUUGCUCAGUGAAAUUGAAUUACCCGUGCAGAUGCG
rnacentral:rRNA from 1 species